ACAUGCGUUCAACAUAUAUUUAAUGCACGAAAUCCCAUUAGAACUCUGCAGUUAAGCGCGCUUGAGCUAGAGUAGUACUGGGAUGGGUGAUUGCUCUAGAAGUCCUAGUAUUUUACAUGCC
rfam:Picea glauca, whole genome shotgun sequence.